GUGCCAGCAGCCGCGGUAACACGGGGGGAGCAAGCGUUGUUCGGAAUUACUGGGCGUAAAGCGCGUGUAGGCGGUCAGGUAAGUGAGAUGUGAAAUGCCCCGGCUCACCCGGGGACCUGCAUUUCAUACUGCUUGGCUUGAGUACGGGAGAGGAUGAGGGAAUUCCUGGUGUAGCGGUGAAAUGCGUAGAUAUCAGGAGGAACACCGGUGGCGAAAGCGCUCAUCUGGCCCGAUACUGACGCUGCAGCGCGAAAGCUAGGGGAGCAAACGGGAUUAGAUACCCUCGUAGUCC
rnacentral:rRNA from 1 species